rnacentral:rRNA from 1 species
GAUGAACGCUAGCGACAGGCUUAACACAUGCAAGUCGAGGGGCAGCACGAUGUAGCAAUACAUUGGUGGCGACCGGCGCACGGGUGAGUAACGCGUAUGCAACCUACCUAUCAGAGGGGAAUAACCCGGCGAAAGUCGGACUAAUACCGCAUAAAACAGGGGUUCCACAUGGAAAUAUUUGUUAAAGAAUUAUCGCUGAUAGAUGGGCAUGCGUUCCAUUAGAUAGUUGGUGAGGUAACGGCUCACCAAGUCCACGAUGGAUAGGGGUUCUGAGAGGAAGGUCCCCCACACUGGUACUGAGACACGGACCAGACUCCUACGGGAGGCAGCAGUGAGGAAUAUUGGUCAAUGGGCGAGAGCCUGAACCAGCCAAGUCGCGUGAAGGAUGAAGGAUCUAUGGUUUGUAAACUUCUUUUAUAUGGGAAUAAAGUGAGGAACGUGUUCCUUUUUGUAUGUACCAUAUGAAUAAGCAUCGGCUAACUCCGUGCCAGCAGCCGCGGUAAUACGGAGGAUGCGAGCGUUAUCCGGAUUUAUUGGGUUUAAAGGGUGCGUAGGUGGUUAAUUAAGUCAGCGGUGAAAGUUUGUGGCUCAACCAUAAAAUUGCCGUUGAAACUGGUUGACUUGAGUAUAU